rnacentral:lncRNA from 1 species
UUCACUGGUCUUAAAAUGGGAUAUGCCAUUGAUCAAGGGGAGGAACACCAAACACCUUUAUCUAUUAGAGUGCAAAUACAAUAAAGAAAAAAGUAGCACUGUGUUCCGGUUCUUUGGGAUGGAAGAUAAUCUCAGGUCUUGAUACACUUCCACAACAGAAAUCAAAUUCCAAAGAGAGCAACUCAACAAUCAAGGUUGGUUGAAGUGCAAGUACUGGGCAGAAUCCCAAAAAAUGGGAUAUGCAAUUGAUCAAGGGGAGGAACACCAAACACCUUUAUCUAUAGAGUGCAAAUACAAUAAAGAAAAAAGUAGCACUGUUUUUCGGUUCUUUGGGAUGGAAGAUAAUCUCAGGUCUUGAUACACUUCCACAACAGAAAUCAAAUUCCAAAGAGAGCUACUCAACAAUCAAGGUUGGGUGAAGUGCAAGUACUGGGCAGAAUCCGAAAAGAAUUUACAAGGUUGACUGGAAAGCACUAGGCAGCCAAAAGAAAACAGAAGCCGCAAAGUCUACAAUUUAAAACCAUAACGCUUUUAGUUAUUGCCAGAACUAAUUCUUGAAUGCUUCAGCUCCACAAGUGAAAAGGCCAAAGCAGCAACAGAGUAGUUAAUGGAUUAG